rnacentral:lncRNA from 1 species
UUGGAUAUUGUAUUAUUUGUCAGGACUGAGAAAGACGUAACACCAAUGGGUGGCUUCCCUCACUAUGGUAUCGUGAAAGACGAUUACCUGAUGAUCAAAGGUUGCUGUGUGGGACCCAAGAAGAGAGUUGUCACUCUUCGUCAAACACUACUCAACCAGACAUCUCGUGUUGCACUUGAAGAUAUUAAGCUCAAGUUUAUCGACACCUCUUCCAAGUUUGGACAUGGUCGCUUCCAGACAACCGAGGAGAAGCAGAAGUUUUACGGCCGCGUCAAGGCUUAGAAGUUGCCCUUUUAGCCGAAUUUGCUAUAUUAGCUGCUACUGUUGCUUGAUUCAAUUUUGCUUGAGUUUUAGACGAUUAAAUCUUUAUUCUAAACUUGGGUACUUUUUAUGGAUAACAAUUUCUUAAUUAUUGUAUUGCUGGUUUUUGGAUGUUUCGGUUAUCUCGGUGGCUGCUGUUUUUUCUUUAGUUUUUACUUUUGAUUUUCAAAGUAAAUAAUAAUUUAAAUUUAUACAAUAGAAACAUUAAUGAUUUUACCGGACAACAUUUGCACUUCGGUUGCAAUUCUCCUCAUGGAAAGGUCACUUUGUCGAAAUGUUGUGCGACAUCCGAUUUAAGUACCCGAUCGGUCCUUAAACUACUUUGUUCUCGAGUAUUUUAUACUCUAUAGCCCGGGAUCGGGGAGGUGGAUAACCUUAUCAUCAUCAUUGUUCAAUAGGGGAAAAGCCUUAGAGAGUUGAAGUUUUGAUAUUAAAAUCUAUUUCUGUAAGAGACUGGACAAUCAAGCUACAAGGGCCAUUGAUCAUCAAUGGCCAUUUUUUUAUUUUUCUAAAUUCCCAGUAUAAGGAGGCCUCGUUAAAAAAUUGUUUGACCUAACAAGGAAGAGUACCUCUAUAUAUUUACAAGAGUCGGUUUAUUUCUACGAUCAUUAUACAGCACAACCGUAGUUUAUCCACAAUCAAAACUUUAUUUCUAUAGAAACAAAAAAAAUAGCAAAAUAGCGCCCGUGGCCUAAUGGAUAAGGCGUCUGACUUCUAAUCAGGCGAUUGUGGGUUCGAGUCCCACCGGGCGUGCAAUUGUGUAUUUUCUUAUUUUAAUGGCCUGGAGGGUACAUUUCAAAAUUAGACUCGGUUACAUGUGCAUCUUUUUUAGCUAAAUCAACGGCUGUACUUGUAAUGAUCAAUGUCAAAUUACUUACACCGUUGAUUGAAAAAACGAGAAAACUAACCCCCUGGUUCAACCGGCUGUUCAAUGGGCCUACAAAUUAACAUCCUUAACCGGCCAUUGUAUCACGGUUCCCAUUUCGAUUCCGGAUCAUGGAACCAUUGACCAGGUUAAUCGUCCGUUAACCACGCGUCGGCCGGAGACCGUGGACAUGUUUGCUUUCAAUAAUGAAAAAUAUUAGUCAAUGCUUAUGCGAAAAGGACAUACGAGCAUGUGGGGGUACCAUGGUUCGCCGGAACGUUGCGAUCGGUCGUCCUGGACACUGCCGUUCCAAUUCCAUUGCAGCGUCGCAGCCGGAACGGACAAAUUAUAAUGAAAAUGCAAAAAAUUAGAGUUAAUGUCAAGUAAGUUUUUAGUAUUAAAAGAUUUGGAAUAAUAUACAAACUAUCAUUAAAACUCCAAUUUUGAUUUAAUUUUCGAACAAUUUUUAAAAUCUUGAGAAGUAGAAUUAAGGAUGGAAAUGUAAGUUAUGAAAUUAUCUCUUUACUUUAAGAGAAAAUAAAAAAUAAUUAGGACUAAAUUGCAAAUUUUGAAAACUUAAAAAACCUACUCAUGUUCCCUAGACCCAAAUCAAAUUUCAUUUAAGCUUUUGGAGCUAAUUGUAAUUUUUAAAACUUUUAAUUAAAAGUUUAAAUUCUAGUUUGAGGUCCUUCAAUCGUCGUUGGAGACCUGAAGAAGUAAAUUAUGAUGAUUCAUACGCGUGACAGCCGCAACUGUCCGAUUUUUUGCCAUGUCCUGGUGUUCCAACCGUUCUUUGCCCGUUCGGCAACAUUUUUCAUUGUGGAACGGUUUGGUUAUGGUUUCCCGAACGGAGGGCACCGUUCCGGCGAACCUUGGGAGUACGCUUAAAUAUUAAAAGUAUAGAGGUAUGUUAAUAAAUUGUAAUAUAUAUAUAUAUAUAUAAAAUUAUAGAGUGUUGCUAUUUCCACCUCCAAAGUAUCUCAAUUCACCACCAAAGAUAAUAAAAUGUUAUAAAUACCCCUCAAAUUUAUUACCCACCACCCUUCCUUAUACUUACUAUAUCCUCCAUGUUUUCUAAGUUAUUUUUAUUUUAGUUUAUUUAGUUAAUUAAUUUUUAAUUUUUAAUUUUAAUUUUAUUUAUUUUAUUCUUCAUAAUGAAAUAUAUAUUACAAGAUAUUUAAACUUUCAUAUCAGAUGUCCUACAAAUUAUGUAAAUUAUUCAAUUUAGGAAACAAAAUUAUAUUAGGCCAAACUGACCAAUUGUUGAGGAAGUUCAAGACCUUCUAUACAAUCACUCUUAAUUUAUUUAUCAAAAAAUAUGAAUUCCUACUUUUUUUAACCUUCAGAAAUGUUUUUCUAUGACAAAAGUAUUAUUCACUUAAGGUGGAGAGGGUGAGAUUUUGCGGUGAAGAUUUCCGUGAAAAUAGUGGGGUUUUUUUUAUAAAUUUUUUAAUUAGUUUAGUGGUGGAUGAUUUAUAAAUCUGUAAAAAAAUAUAGGUGAAAUAAGAAGGAAUAGGUAAAAUGAAAAAUAUAUUUAAUUUGAUGGUGAAAUAAGAUAUUUUGAGGGUGGAAAUAGUAUUUCUCUAAUUAUAUAUUAUAUAUUAUAAAUAGUAAUUUUUGUAUACUUCAAAAUAAAAUUUACUAAAAUAAAAUAGUAAUACUAAUUAUCAAUUAGCAAUUAAUUAUUAUUGGCACUAAUUAUUAUUAGUUUUUGUGACGAUUGAAUAUUGGGCUUUAACGUAGAUGGGCCCAAAAUUAAGAAGCCUCGAGCAUUUACUAUUGGUGAAAGAAGACCAUUUUACGAAAGAAACUGAAAACUAUAAAUACAAACAGCCCAGCAAACUAGGGUUUUUCUCUCACUGGAAAAGCCUCGAGUAGCAGCAGCAGUCAGGUACCUUCUAUCUCACACACACACACACACACACACACACACACACACACACACACAACGUUUGCUUCUGCAUUUUGAUUCGUUAGAACACAGCGUUUUUGCUGUAGAUUGUGCUAUACGAUACGACCAUUUGAUUGCAAUCGUUUACAUGUAAUUGAAAGCCAUUUUUGUUUUAUAUUGUUUCUGCAGCAAUACAUUUCAUCAUCCUUUCACUUUGAUUUAAUUGUUUUUGUACCCAUGAUCACUGAAAUUGUUAAUUGAGACCGCCAGAAAUGAAUUUUGUCAUUUUGUAUCAUCUAUUUGCGAAAAAGGAUUAGGAUCUUCGCAUUUUUAUUUCCCAAUUUCUUUUAGUUAUUGUUGAUGAAUUGUUAUUUUGCUGCAGAUUAAAGGAGGUGGAAAAUGUCUCACAGGAAGUUUGAGCACCCAAGGCACGGUUCCCUCGGUUUCCUCCCGAGGAAGAGGGCUGCUCGCCACAGGGGAAAGGGUACACUCCUAUUACAUUUUGCUCUAAAUUUGUUGAAAAAUGUUGUUUUAAUGAAUAAUCUGUGUAAUUUAAUAGUGCUUCUCGAUAUGAGUAUAGAAAUGUGUAUGAUGAUUUAAGUUUGGUCUAUCUUAAAAAAGGCUUAUUGAUUUGUUCGUCUGUUGUUUUUCGUGUUGUGCACUAUCAUCCAUGAAUUAAACAAAUUUGAAGUCUAUCAGUUUAUCAAUACAUAGUUGUUAGUUGUUACUGAUUCUUCCUGAGAAAUUUACUUGCAUAUCAGUCCUAAAAUCAAGAGAAAAUUAGUAUCUGUUUACGUUGUAAAUUCAAUCGAUUUGAAGCCUUUUGGAUUACAUCGGUUUACGUGUUGAUUAUUUGUUGCCUUUUUCGUAUUCAUUUUUCAGUAGUCUGUUACUGUGCUUAAGUUUUUAUAUUGAAUAAUGCAGUGAAAGCUUUCCCCAAGGAUGACCCAACCAAGCCAUGCAAGCUGACCGCUUUCUUGGGUUACAAGGCUGGCAUGACCCACAUUGUCAGAGAAGUCGAGAAACCUGGAUCAAGUAAAUUAUUAUCUCGUUUUAUUUAUUAAUUUCUGCGAUGCCUUUUGUUUUGAUCGGCAUGUUAACAGCUUUUGUUAUUUGUUUUCAUGAUCAAUUCUUUAUUCAAUUUUCCCUUGUCAAAUGCUUAGCUAUGACAAUUGGUUUUUCUUUCCGUAUAUUCUUCUAAAAGCAGAUACGUGCAUCUGUUAUUUGCAUGAGGCAAUGUUCUUUUACUGUCAAUAUCGUAGCUUAACGUAAAAUAUCUAUAAAUCAUAAUUGCAGAACUCCACAAGAAGGAAACCUGUGAGGCUGUUACCAUCAUUGAAACACCACCAAUGGUUAUUGUUGGUGUGGUCGGUUACGUCAAGACUCCUCGUGGUCUUCGCUGCCUGAACACCGUUUGGGCUCAGCAUCUGAGCGAGGAGCUAAAGAGAAGGUUCUACAAGAACUGGUGCAAGUCCAAGAAGAAGGCUUUCACCAAGUAUUCCAAGAAAAUGGAGACUGAUGAGGGCAAGAAGGAUAUCCAGGCUCAGUUGGAGAAGCUGAAGAAGUACUCGUCUGUUAUCAGAGUUUUGGCUCACACUCAGGUAUCAGUUAAUUCUUACAAUCCUACUUACCUCCGUAUAUAAUUUUCCACAAACAAUCAAAUUAAUCAAAUAUGCAUACUUUAAUUGGUUAACUUUCUUGAACACUACAAGUACACGAUUGGUCAGCAAUUAAGAUAAUCCAACCCUACAAACCGAACACACCCUUAUGUUUAAUGUUUAUUAAUAAGAACAUUUUUGUAUCAUGCAGAUUAGGAAGAUGAAGGGUCUGAAACAAAAGAAAGCACACUUGAUGGAGAUUCAAGUGAAUGGUGGAACAAUUGCUCAGAAGGUUGACUUUGGGUACGGUUUCUUUGAGAAACAGGUCCCUAUUGAUGCUGUCUUCCAGAAGGAUGAGAUGAUUGACAUCAUCGGUGUGACCAAGGGUAAAGGUUAUGAAGGUGUGGUCACACGUUGGGGUGUCACUCGUCUUCCUCGUAAAACUCACAGAGGUCUUCGUAAGGUCGCUUGUAUUGGUGCAUGGCACCCUGCUCGUGUUUCCUUCACUGUUGCCAGGGCUGGACAGAACGGAUACCAUCACCGUACUGAAAUGAACAAGAAGAUCUACAGGCUUGGGAAGAUCGGUAAAGAGGAGCACACUGCCAGUACCGAGUUUGACAGGUUCGAUUAUUGUACUAUAGCACUUUUUUUUUCUUCCCACUUUAAUGCAUAAAGAUGUUUUUAUUGUUUUGGACCUAUAGCUAAUGUUAGAUAUUGUAUGAUUUAUCAGGACUGAGAAAGACGUAACACCAAUGGGUGGAUUCCCGCACUAUGGUAUAGUGAAAGAUGAUUACCUGAUGAUCAAAGGUUGCUGUGUGGGACCCAAGAAGAGAGUUGUCACUCUUCGUCAAACACUUCUCAACCAGACAUCUCGUGUUGCACUUGAAGAUAUCAAGCUCAAGUUUAUCGACACCUCUUCCAAGUUUGGACAUGGUCGCUUCCAGACAACCGAGGAGAAGCAGAAGUUUUACGGCCGUGUCAAGGCUUAAGAGGAAUUUGGUAUAUUUAGCUUU